rnacentral:tRNA from 2 species
AGUCUCGUAGUUCAGCUUGGUGAUGAACGCUCCCCUGUCACGGGAGAGGGCGCCGGUUCGAACCCGGUCGAGACUG